GCUAGUGUGGUAUAGUGAUUUGAGCAUUGGAUUAUGAUUCCAGAGACCAGGGUUCAAAUCUCCACUCAGGCA
rnacentral:tRNA from 1 species